rnacentral:lncRNA from 1 species
UUGUUGGUUUAUCAUUAACCCCAGAGAAUUAAUUUAAAGUGUUAACUUUACAGAGAUUUAAAUUAAACCUGACCAAGUUGAUAUGUGUGUAGGAUAACGGGCCUGAGUCAAGUUUGGAGUUAAUUGGUCUGGGCCUGAUUUGUGCUCGAAUAGGUGUUGCUUGAUACAUACUAUUGUCAUUUUCUUUUUUUUUCUUUUUUUUUUCUUUUUUUUUUUUCAAAUACAAAUUCUGUAUAUAUAGUUAAUUGGAUGCGCCGGACGAUGGACUUCUCUGUUGUUGUUGUUAGCGGUUAACUUGCUAUACAUUCCAGUUAGAUAUAAAAUAAGGUCCUUUUUAAUAAGAUAGAAAUGCGAAAUAUUAUUGCGCUCAACAUUUUAUUUUUUAAUUACCAAACAAAUUAACCACUUCGUAUUUUUUAAUAAGAGGCUGAUUGUUUUUGCGGAUCUCAACUGUUGAAUUUGUGACAUCUAAAAAGUCGUUAGUGUUAGCAUUCGCUUCAGCACAAAAAUUACUGUCGGAUCGUUGGCGCUAAUCAUUAAUCUCAAAAUCUCGAGCUGUUAGAAAUACGCAAUCAAUUCAUUUAAAACGUUACAGAUACAAUGCCCACGGGUCUCAAUUGUGACUCGGUCCAACCUGCCUCACGCCACUUCGAACAUAACUCUGCCCACUCCAGCCUCACACCAUUUCGAACAUGACUCGGCCCAUAUGAUUUCUCCCGCCACAAGGUAAGAUGCUGAUACAUUUAAGCCAACAAUUGCGAGAUCAUCUAAAUUUUUAGUCAUAACUGUAGGAACAUUAAAAAAAAAUUUGACCUUUCACCUUAAGUGAAGCGUGGGAGUAAAUUAUGCUUAAUUGGCCUAGUGGAGUAGCUGAUAGGUUAAGGGUGAAACCACGCACACCCAAAAAAACAAACACGAAGGGGGUUAAUAAAUCAAAAAGCGAAUUGAGCAAACACUGUUAGUUCAUGGUUUGGAAGCUAGUUGUACGUAUACGCGUCCAAUAUACACGUGAUACUGAUACACAUAGGAAAUCAUUAAAUAUUAAAGCUCAAAAUAGAAAAAGAGAAAUCAUAAAUAAGUAAUUUAAUUUAUUUCCUUUUGACGAGGUGAUCAAAGCUAAAAUAUUAGCACAAUAAAAAGGCAAACGGAUAGAGAACUGCAGCUGCUCGUAACGCAUGCUCAACAUGUAUCAUAAUGUACAUGUGGAAAAAAAAAGUAAUUAAAUGAAAUAUCCAAGAGACUUGAUAUGCCAAGAUACAAACAAUCGUUCACUCCUAACAAAGAAACUUCUGAAUGGAGCUACUUUUCUCGAUCAAUUCUUAAAGGAAAAAGGACAAAACGUACUAAACCAAAAAAUAUAUAAGCUGUUACCAGGAAGAUAUAUAUCAUGUGAAAGUAUUGAUUAUAUUUAAGCAUGACUUUUGCUGUAAGCUUAAUGUCCUGUAAAAACCAAAUGAUUCUUGAUGUAAAAACAUUAGUAGGAAAACCAAACGAAAGAGAGAGAAUAACCCAUCAAGAAAAUCACACAAAACUAGCUAAUUAAUAUAUACUCUUAUGAGCUUUUCCUCAUGUAAGAAUACAUUUAUUCACCAAUUCUUGCAUUUAUUCAUUGAUACAUAGGCUAGUAUAUACUCAUGCUUCUAAACAGAAAGCUCUUUAACAUGAAAAAACAAACACAAGGUGCAACUAUACAUAUACAUAUACAUACACACACACACACACACACACACACCAUGAACAAACUCUUUUACUAUUACCUUCUUUCUUUUUCUAUAGCUAUUAUCUACUUUAGCUUACUAUUAAAUCAAAAUUCAAAUAAUUUCUUCUAAUGUGCAAACCAACUACUAACUUCAAAGUGGUAAAAUAAAUUGUUUAAUAUGGAUAUGUGAAAUAUUAAACAAGUUUAAUAUGGACUAGCUAGUGUAUUGCAGGCCAAGUUUUCAGUGAAAUUUAAGUAUAUAAAUGUGUAGCAUGGAACUAACCAUGACCAGAAUAAACACAAGCUUAACAUGCAUUAUGUGAAAGCAACAAAUUAUCCCUAAUUAGCUGCAUGCAUGUUUGUUACACAUAGUCCUGGCAUACUUAUAAGCUUAUUUUAACUGGCAAUUUGGUUCCAAAUAUGUUGUGCGACAUGAUCAGACCAUCGAUCAUAUCAAAGAAGAAACUAAAUUAAAUUUAUAACAAACCACAAAAGAACUAUUUAUCAUAUCUUGUUUCAGAUUUUACAAAAGACAUUGUUCACAAAAAUCCAUCUCGAUCAGAUUCUCAAUAAUUUAAUCUUAAGUAAGUAUUGCAGCAGCUCUCGUAGUUAACCAGAGUCUUUAAUUUGUUCAAGCAAUGCCAUACGUUCUCUUUCCUUUUUCCUAAUUGCAUUUUUCUAUGGCAAUAUUUAGCAUGAAGAUGAAGAGUACAGCUCAGACAAAGAGCAAAUUAACAAAUAAAUCAAUCAAGGAUUAAAGUAAGAAAGAUUAAAACAUAAUUAACUUUCAAGUACUAUCAUAUUUGUGUAUGGUGCAUGAGCUAUGUAUAUACACUCCAAAACAGAAAAAAAAAGAAGCAAACAUUAUAAUUAGCCAGAAAUAAUUAACAUGCUUUGUAGAAAGCAGCAACCCAACAAUAAGCAGAUCAGUCAAGAUGACAAUCACCUAAAAGUACUGGCGACAUGCACUAAUGAAAAAGCAGCAAAGUAGUAACAUGCUAAGUGUUCUCUAUAACCUUUAACAGGGCUAUAUAUUUUGAAUGGAUAUAAGCGCUAUAUAUUGUACCGUAAAUUAGAUUCAAGGCCAUGCAUGUUUUCUAGACGAAUAGUAUAUAAUCCUCUUCUCUCUCUAUAUAUAUAUGUAAUGCUUCUAAUUGCAACAUUGCACUAUGUUUAAAUUUCAAAAGAAAACAUUAAAUGCUCUUUGUUUAUAUGUAGCUCGAUCCCUUUAUACUUGCUAUUUAUCUAACCUAGAACGUUAUUAGGAACUACAUUUUGAAGCACUUAAUUAAUUUUUCUCAGUUUCACGAUACAUACAUAAUAUUUAAAUUACGUGCGUACAGAAGCAUUAAUUUGCAUGCUUUUAUAUAAGGAUCUUGAAUCUCUAUAGUUACGUACUCGAUCAACUAUAUAUAUAUAUAUAUAUAUAUAUAUAUAUAUAUAACCAACCGCACGCCUUUCGUAUUUUUAUCACCAAAAACACACCCUCUUUUGUUUUUUAAACGAACAAACGAACAAAAAACAAAACUCUUUAAAUUAAUUAAAGAAGGAUGAGGGAAACAAGGAGCCAUGGGAAAAGUAUGCAUGGAAUCAAAGCAAAAGAUGAGGUAUCAAGGAGUGCCAAACCUUUCUUUUUUCAUCUCCCACGCAUGCACCGUCCACAUAUAUCCUACAUUACUAAGUAGCUCGCUAGCUAGUAAGUAAUUCAAUUACUCCUCCUACAUAAAUAUAUAUAUAUAUACACACAUAAGCACGCUACGGAACUACGUACUAGGAUCCCUCGCCCUGGAACUUAGCCAAAAGCGCGGAGACGAGGGCGUGUUGGCGCUCCGCGCGGGCCUCCGCGCGGGCGCGGCGCUCCUCGUCAUGUUGCCUCCACCGGCGCUCCAUCGCCAGCCUCUCCUCCCAGAGGUUGGCCAUGGCCCUCCUCCACUCCCCCUCCUUCUCCCUCCUCUCCGCCUCCCUCGCCUCCGCCGCCUCCAUCCACCGCUCCUCCAUCUCCGCUUGCCGCCUCAUCAGCUCCCUCAGCGCCCCCUCCACCUCCUCCACCACCCCCGCACCAGCACCAGCACCAGCACCAGCGCCCUUCCUCUUCCUCCUCCACCUCCUCUUCUUCUUAUUCUUUAUAUUUGUACUCCUCUUCCGCCUCUCCUCCUCCUCCUCCUCCUCCUCCUCCUCUUCCUUCUCUUCCUUCUCUUCCUCCUCCUCCAACUCCUCCUCCAACUCCUUCCCCUUCGUCUUCUUCUUCUUCUUAGCACUACUCUUCUCGAAAGCCAGCAACCUCUCCAUCCUGUAAGAGAAUAUCCUCCUCAUCUCCUCGUAGAAGGGGAACUGCCUCUCGCUCUCCUGCUCCAUGGCCUCGCUACCCUGCAAACAUUUUUUGUUUGUUUCUUCAUUAAAAAAACAAAAAAAAGCACACUUAUUACUCUACAACUAGUAGCUAAACGCGCAUAUAUCUGUGUGUACAUAUAUAAUAUAUCUAUAAUAUAUACUUUGAAGCGGGUGAGGAGGUUCUUCCACUUGGACUUGCACUGGUCGGGGGUGCGGGCGAAGCCCUUGAGGCGGAGGCGGGCGGAGACGGCCUCCCAGAGCGGCUUGUUGCGCUUGGCCGCGGCGAAGCUCCGGUCGAGCUCGGCGCGCGCGGCGAGGAACUCCGCCGUCUCCGCGUGGCUCCACUGGGGCACCCCGCUCGCCGCCGCUUCGCGCUCAUGCGGACGAGGCGGUGGAAGAGGAGGCAGAGGAGGAGGCGGUGGCUGUAGUAAGGGUGGGUCGACGUCUACAACGUUGAGCUCGUAGUAGGAGGCGUCGUCGACGCCGUGGAAGUGGAGGUGUGGGUACAAGUGAUGAGCCAUUAAUUAAUUCCUAGCUCCUCGAUGAAGUAGUCGCGGAGUGUGUGGGAGAGGUGGGGAAGGGGAUCGAUGAAGAAGAAGAGGGAGAAUAAUAAUAAGUCGGCGGCGAAUUUUGCGUGUGGGAAAGAGAAAGACGACGAGAGGAGCAAGAAUUGGUGGGGCCUACGCAAUUAGAGAGAGAGAAAGAGAGAGAUUGUGAGAGAGAGAAAACGGGGAGUCGCGGUCCAAGCUAUCUAUCUGUCAACGCGGAAAUAGAUUGCAUUCCCAUUGCUUUCCCACGGCGUAUAUUUCUUGCUUACGCCCACUCCACCACGUCAUCGCGGGGCUGUUGGGGAACUUUGACGGAUGACCCUUCUUACUUAUGUACUCUAUUCUCCCUAAAAUCAGAAUGUCAAAUUUUGCUGUACGAAAAAAUUAAUCUGUUUUCAUUCAAUUCAAUUAACCACGUGUUAGCGAAGGGUUUAUGAGAGGUAGAAUAUAAGUAUGUAACCCUUUUCGUCUGAAUUUUGAAAAUUUUGUUGAUAUAAAGUUUAGAAUUUGAAAUAUAGUAUAUUUGUCGAAAGUUGAGUUGAAAUGCUAUCGGAAGCAAACGAGUUUCGUUGUCACCUAUUUGUUUUCGAUGAUGGAGGCUUUAAAUCGGCGAUCGGCACCGUUGAAUAUAAUCUAUACCACUUAAAGUAUCUAUAAACUAAAUUUUAAAUUUUUUUGACAUUAUUGACCUAAUAAUCAAAUGGUUUCAAAAUUUGUAACUUUGAUGGUCGAUAUGAAGCAUUUUCUAAUUUAAAAAUGUAAGAAUAUCUAAAUCAAUUGAAUUUUGGUUACAAAAUUCUUUAAACUAUUUAGAAUAAAAUCUAUACUCUCAAUUUUAAUCACAAGACUCCUAUCAACACUAAUAUUUAUUUUCAGCCGUUCAUUUUCAUUUCUAUUGAUGGACAAGAGAAUAAUAUAGAAAAAAAAUAUGAUAUUUGAUUUUUAGAUACUUUAAGUGGUAUAGAUCAUAUUCAACGGUAUUGUUGAUUUGGAAGCUCCAUCAUCAAAAAUAAAUGGAUGGCAACGAAACCCGUUUACUACCGAUAGCAUUCCAGCUCAACUUUAUUUGUCGACUAAAAUUUUAAAAGAUUCUAAUGCAUACACUAUACUGCAAUCACAUGACUUCUACUUCGAUAAUUUAGCAAAUUAAAAUAAAUUAAUUAUUUAUACUGUGAUUAAAACUUAUUUAAAUUUUGAAUGAGAAUUUUAAAAAUAACAUCAAUUAGGCUGGUGUGAGAAUUUGAAUGAGAAUUGCUUUGGCGUUGGCUACCCAGCACUACCUAGCACAUUAUGAUUGGUUCAAUACGAGUGACGUGGUAGACCGGUUCUACGAGGUCGAGCGAUCGAGUACGAACGCUGCGUUGGGAGGUGCGUCACGCUGACAGAGGGGCGAGACGCGCGAAGGUGUCUCUUCCUUGCGGUCGAAGCUUGUUCCGAUGAAGCUUCUCGAAAGAGCCGUUUUGAACGUAAUAAUGCCACACAUCCUCUACAACGCGCGUCGUAUCAUACUCGUACGCCCGUCGUGCAGUACGUGGCGUAGUCUCAUUGGUUCGCGUGAUCAUACUACGUAGAAAAUUCAAAAUCAUACUUAGUACGAAUUUUUCAAAUAAUCCGGUCAAAAGCAACCACGUGGCAAUGCGAUCCAGAGAAUUCUACAACUAGGUUGUAGAGGAUCCAGUUGUCUUUUUUUUCUUUUUCUUUUCUUUUUUUUUUUUUUUUUUUUUUUUUUUUUGGGAGAUUAAGUAGCCGCACUAUUAGAUUACAUUAAAAAAAUUUUUUUAGGAUUCUUUAAGAUGCUGACCUGGCUACGACUUGACUGAGACUGCAUUAAGGUCCAAAAGAUUCGAGUUAUCAACAAUGUGUAUGUUAUUUCUUUGUCACAUGGGUAGCUUAAUGCUAAGGAGAACAAAACAAUAUUUAUGAUGAAUUAAUCAUUCAUCAAACUAGUCUUCUUACCAUUAUAUUAUAAAAUAGAGUUUAUAUGUCAGUAAUUGUAAUAGUAAUACUAUAGUUAGUGCCACAUUAAAAAAAUUUGAUUCAGUAUGGUGCUGCACUUUGAAAGAUCUUCCAAAAAACAGUAAUGCUAGUUCUACAACCACCUUUUUAUUGUACUCGUACAACUUUAUCAUUCAAGGGCCCAUCAUUUAGAGAUUUUGAGAAAUUAGACCCGGCCCAACAUUAAUGGGCCUAGCCUGUUUGUGAAUUCGGCCUAUUGGGCCGUUUAUCACUUUCCACGGAUUAGCAAAAGCUGAUACAAUGUAGCCCAUUUGGUGUUUGUUAAUGUAAUCCAUGAUGCUCCUAAUCACAAGAAACAUAAAAAACCUGUGUAGAUCAUAAGUUAAUGAGACAAAAUUUAAUUACCUGGCAAUAAAUGUACCCGUUGACCAAUCUCUAUGCUAGUCAUAGUUUGAUAGAAUUCAUGAAUUGAAACAAAAUUGAGCCACUUUUGAUUGGGCUUCGAGAGUCCAAUCGUUACGUUCGGGUUGGGUAAGGUCUUGAAUGUUAGGUCCGAAUUAGUGGCGGCCCAGUGCCCGACAAAAUCUUGUGUAUUUCGACAAGCAAUUUCUUUUUCGAGACCUUCAACGAAGGAGCAGGUAAUACCAACCGCUGAGCUACAGCUAGGCGUGUAAUGUGGGCUGUUUCGGGCACACAUUUUUCGGGCUGAAAUGGGCUAGGGGUCGGCCUCGCCCGGUUCGGAUUUAAUUUCGGGCUGGGCUGUGACGGGCCCAAAUUAUCUACCCUUUGGCCCGGCACAGCCCUUCAGCCCGAAAGGCACGGGCCGUGCUUCGGGCCGGCCUAGUAAAAUAUUUAUUUUUUAAAAUUUAGUAUGAAAUUUAAAAAUAUAAACAAUCGAUAUUUUUAUUUAAAUUAAUAUUUUGAUUAAAAUAUUAAAAAAUUAUAAAAAUAAUUAUACUAAAAUAAAUCUUUAAUUUUUUUUAAAAAAAAUAAAUUUGUAUUAUUUUUUUUUUAAAAGAAAAUGAGAUAGAUUUUGGUCCAAUGGACCAAAUUGGACCAAAAUUCGAAUUUUGGUCCAUUGAACCAAAAUUGCUCCUCCCAAGGUCAGACCCCUGGGGAGCUCAGACCCAAUAGCCCAAGGCAGUUGCCUUGGGCCAUGGGGUCCGGGCCGUGCUGGCUCAGUUGGCACGGAUCAAGCGGGCCGUGCCGUGCCAGGCCGCCCGCCUCCCCUCACCCCGGCACAGCGGAGGCCCGUUUCGGGUUGUGCCAUGCUGAGCCGUUGAGCUCCAAAGGAGAGGCCCAGCACGGCCCAGAGCCUCAGCCGGGCCGGCCUGGCACGAGUGUUACAAUACCCGUGCGGUGCUGUAGCCCGGCCCAAGGCCAUGCCGGGCCGAGCGGCCCAUGUGCUGCCUGGCCUGUUUUACACCCCUAGCUACUACAAUCUUUUCGUAAAUUAAAAUUUAUGUAAUUUUUAAGAAAAAGUUUAGGUUCGAUGAGAGUUGAGGUUUGAAUGGAGAAAGAUAUAUACAAGCUAAUUUUAAAAGAAAGUCGAAGCCUUUGAAUAAGCUUUCUUAAGUGAAAAUUUUGCUAAUUUCUAUUAAGAUUGGAGGAAAGAAUUUUUGCUAAUUUUUGUUCUUUUUUCCAGAGUGGUCCAAUUGGAUCCAGAUGAGGAUGCAUAUUGUAAUCUACAAAGCUAGAGGUACAAAAAAGUCUCUUUUGCAUUAUUUGUGUUCUUUAAUUUGUAAGCAUAGUUCAUUUUUAACGGUGGAUGAUUAGAGUGGAAAAUUAUUGAGGGGACGUACACCAAAACAUGGUUCACGAGAGACGAGCACGUGCAAAAUAUUGAAUGUUUCAGAAUAUCAUAUUUAUUAAAAUAAAAAAAUUUAAGAUAAAACAAAAUUUGAAACAAAAUAAAAUAGUUUGUAAAGGACAUUUAUCCACGUCACUACUUGGCUGAGGCAGUUGCGGGGAGAAUAGUAAUAAUGCUGAUAUAUAGUUUCGCUACCAAUUCUCAAAAAUAAUGCUGAUAUAUAUAUAUAUAUAUAUAUAUAUAUAUAUAUAUAUAUAUAUAUAUAUAUUAUUUAUAUAUAUGAGAACUUUUUAAUGUAACUAAAAAAAAAGUUUUUUUUUUUUUUUUUUUGCCCAUAAUAUAGUUAGUGGACAGUAUAUAUAUUUAAAAAUAAUUUAUUUUAUUUUUAAAAAAUUAAAUAUUAAAUAUAAUUAUUUUAGAGGUUUGACAUAUUUGAUUUAUUUACUGUAGGCUUUUUAAGUAAAAAAAUAAGGCUGACUAAAAUAAUUAUACAUUUAAACAAAAUAGCUGCAAUAUUUUUAAUAAACCCACAUCACGAGAUAACUAGUCACGAUCAUGACUAAGAAUAGAAAAAGUACUAAUUUGUAUAAUGAAGUUAAAAGUGCUCGAAAAGAUCAAAAUAUGUGCUUCUUUUUUGAAAGAAAGGUAGCGCGCUACCCGUUUCAUUCAGAAAGUAAGUGAAUUAAGCUACAUGGGUGAGGCAACAAGGCCUCGACGAGGACGGAUGAAAAAAAAAAAAAAAAAAGUUCGAUCGAUCGCUUCUUUGACUAGUUUUUCCACGGUCCCGUCAACUGCUUAAUCUUAUAAAUACCGGCUAUUGGGUUGUUUUGGGUCGCCGUGAAGAUCGCUCUGUUUCUAGAAUCCCAAGAAACCCACCAGCAGGCUAUCAGGCCUAUGAGACUGGUUGAGGUCGAUUGUGAUCUUGUACAUCCUGCCCAUCUAUCCCACACUUGACGCACCUCCUCUUCCAGAUCUCCUAGCUGAAUAUUCUCCUGGGUCGUCGCCAUUAGGAAUCUGGUAACUACGCAUUGUGUGAAUAGGUGGUCGACUGUUUUCUCUUCCAGUCCACACAGCAUGCAUUUCGUGUUGCCGACCCAUCCCCUCUUAACCAAAUUGUCAUCAGUAAGCACUCUCUUCUUAAGGACAAGCCAAUAGAACACUUUCACUUUUAAAGACAGGCGUAAAAACCAGAUCUUGCUCGAACGGGCAUCCCUCAUGCCUCCGUCGCGCAGAGUUGAAUAAAAUGUGUGCUUCUAAGUAGAAAAAUUCUUGCACAUUAUAUAUGGGUUAGAAUUUUUUUUUUUUUCUUUUUUAUCUUCAACAUUCGACACAUGUUCUUAACAGGCGAACAAACAAACAUUUUUGGUGGAUGCGUAUCGCUAUGGUAACUACAUAGCUUGAAUAAUUGCAUCUAUAAGAUGUCACAACGACCCCUCAAGAACCUCUUUCAUUAGGAUUACUUGUUAUGUAAACAUCAAACAAUACGUUUCUAACUUUUCUUGAGCUUAGUAUAAGAUUGCUGAAAAUACAUUAUAAGCACGUGAAUAUUAUUUAAUUACUAAAAAUCUACCUUUUCUUUGGGAUUCCUAAUUUUUGUAGGCCUCUUAUGUUAAUAUAAAGCCAAGUGUGACCAAAUGAAAACUUACAUGUGGGCUUCUUGAACCGUGACCUCACUUGAAAGUUUCCAUAGUAAUUACUCAUAUUAUAAUAUUAUCAGUUACUUUAACUUUAAAUUUUUCUUAAAAUUGAAUUAAAGUUAGGAAUGAUCUUUAGAUAACUAUUUUUUUUUGAUAAAAAAGUAGCACGCUACCCGCUUCAUUUAUUGAGAGGAUGAGUUAAGCUAAGGAGUGAGGCAACACAGGUCUCGAUGUGGGCGGAAAAAAAAACCCAACCGAUUACAAUAAUGCCUAUUCGCUUAGAGGUGUAGCUCCCAAAGGUUCAUCAACUGUUUAAUUUUGUAAAUUGCUAGGAGGGGGUCCGACUAUGUCUGUCUAAAGAUCGCACUGUUCCCGACCUCCCAAGUGAUCUACUAACAGGCUAUUAUUCUGGUCAACUUAGUACUCGUUGACUACGUUCCUUUCCUAGUUAUUCAUCUACUCCAGACCAGAUUCACGUUGUUUUCGAAGUCACUAGGCUGGACGCUCUCCCAGGUAAUCACCAUUUUUGGAUUUGGGUUUAUUUAGGGUUAUUUUACUUGGACAGCGACGAGUGCGUUAAAGUUAAACACGUACAUUAGGGCGACUCAAUGAAUAUUUAUUAAUGUAGAAGGCAAAUGGAAAUUGACGUCCUUGGUUUAGCCACGCCGUAUACGUAGAGAAUUGGGAAACAGUAAAACGUUUCCAAAAAGGUAUGCCACAUAUGCAUGCGUCCGCGGCUUCUCAUGACCCUCCCAUGACGAUGAUGCAUGCGUUUGUUUUAUUCUCCCCGUCGCCCUACCCGUGAACAAGCAACAUAGAACUUAAAAUCUAAUUUUAUAGGUUACUAUAUGUAUAUUGGUUAACACAUCAACAACCUAUAAGAUUAAGGUCAUCUCCUAACUAGUUUCGUACAAAUUAUUCGUAGAAAAUACUACUUGUACACCUUAAUUAUUAGUAUUAGGGUUUGCUCACUUAUCCUAUGCAUUAUAAAGAAAUAAAAACUCCAACGAAUUUUUUAAAUUCUACAAUUUCCUAUAAUUUUUCAUCCAACCGUAUUAAAAAUUUACUAAAACUAGUGUGAAACAAGAAUUGUUGGAUUUUGGUAUUGUUGUGUAAUUGCAACUCAAGUAAAAUGUAAAUCUAACAUUUAUUUUUUUCAGUACGUUAGUCAAUAUGUAACGGCAUUUGAUUUUUUGAUUGAUUAGCUAGAACUUAGAAAAGACAAGUGACAAGUCACGUGAAAGUUAGAAUUGUAGAGUCAUGUGGAUUAUAUAGCUGCAGUAAGUUAUAAAACCACUAGACGGUGUUUGGUUUCCCAUAAAAUCGGCUUGAAAAUAAAUUUUUCGUAGAAAAGCGCAAUUUGGACAUUUGUUUGCUCGUAAAAAAGUUUUUUCGAAAAGUUCUUUUGCAAAUUAUGAUGAAAAUGGAUGUUUUCGUUUUCCGCUAGAAACCAGCGGAAAACCAAAACGAUGGGCAGAAAUCGCAGCGUUGGGCGCAGAGGAGGGGAGCGGAGAUGCGCGGUCCACGAGGCCACCGCAUGAGUGGGCCUCCCUCUCAUUAUAUAUCUAUGUUUAUAUAAAAGCACGUAUUUCAAAUUUGGGCCUGUCGACAGAUUCAUUUUUUGGUGGAAAAAAAUAUUGAUUCCUUUUUCCUUACGUAAAAUAAAUAAUGUAAUGAAACAAACUUUAAAUUUCUGAUUAUCUCUAAAAUAAAAAAAAAAUAAAGAUACAUUUAUCCAAAUUUUUUUGCCACCCGAAAGAUAUUUACUGUGAAUCUAUAUUUUAAUUAAAAUUUUAUUUAAUUUUUUUCUUUCUAAAAGAGAAAAAAAAUUCAUGCUUAUCCAAAUUUUUGCCAGAAUAUCUACUGCAAGUCUAUAUUUCAAUUCAAAAUUUAAAAUUAAUUUACUAUUUAUAUAUUACAAUGGAAAUAAUUUAAAAGAUAGAUUGGUUGAUAAAUUUGUAAAUCAUAUUUUUGAAUUAAUAUGAUAUACAAAUUUUUGAUCAAUUUGUAAAAAAUUAUCAAAAAUAAGAACGAAUGAUUAUGAUUAAUUUGUUAAAAAAAACAUUCAUACCUAUCUAUAACUUCUAUAACUUCAAUUCUACGAACGGUUAUGAUCAAUUAGUUAAAAAUAUUGAAAAUAAAAAUGAACUAUUAUGUUUAAUCUGUUAAAAAGUAGUACUUCUAUCUAUUUAUUUUACAUUAAAAUUUAAAUUUGAGUUUAAAUUUGAAUUAAAUUUAUUUUUUGAUUUUUGAUAUCAAAUUUAUCNUGCGCCACAUCGUCGCCUCCCAGGUGCUCGAUCUAAAGUCUAAACCACCCCUAUUAGCUGUACAUAUCAUCCUGUCACUAAUGACAAUUAUUAAGUAAUUAGCGCUUAAUUAUUUAAUAACUAUGUUCCUGUAAAUCAACUGUCGUGUUUUCUGAUGAUAAUAAUAAUAAUAAUAACUAAUAGAUUUAUUCAUAUAGUAUUUUAUUUUUAUAUAGAAAUAUUAUUAUAUAAUAUUUUAUUUAUAAAUUUGUAAUUAUUUAUUAAUAUUUUUAAAUAUAUAACUCUUAUAUAUUAUUAAUAUAAGUUUAUUAUAAUUUUAAAUAUAUUUAAUCUAUAUAUAAAAAUUAUAAUAAUAAUAUAUAUAGUAUAUUAAUUAUAUAUUAUAUAAUAAAAAAUAUAUUAAAUUUUUUUUUUCUUUUUCGACCAAAUAAUUAUUAUGAAAAAUUAUUUUUUUCUUUUCCUACGAACAAAAUGCUAAACGACGUAAAUUUUUUUCCACUGAAAUUUUUUUUCCACAAUUUUUUGUGGAACCAAACACACCUUGAUUUGGCAUUUACAAACAACCAUAAAAAAUAUCUAAUCAUCUAAUCAUGCAUGUAUAUAAUAUACCACGUGCGUGAGACCAAAACGAAAAGGUUAAAAUUGAAAACUUAGACGCCAAAUUUUCUAUGAAAAGAUUCAAAAUUUCCUUCCAUACACUGUACGUAAUCCAUGUGAUUUUGCACAAAAAAAGAUUUUAAAAAAUCUAAUAAUGGACACAGAAAAAGAAAAAAAAAAUUAAAGAAAAAAAAUGACAAGACCAUGACUGUUGCUUGGAGUGAUCUAAUUAAUGUCAUAGUCUUGGAUAAAUUAUUGCCUGCGACUAUGAAUGUCCGCAAAAUGGUGCAUCCCUUUUCAAACUUGAAAAAUAUAUAGCACUUACCUCAACUAUCAGUCAUCUCGAUCUAAUUAUUAAAUUUUUUAAAAUUUUAAUUUUGCUACGUAACUAUAAUUUAUUUAAUUUGUGUUUUGUUCUAACUACUUCAGUCGUGUAUUUUCAUAUAGUUUCAACUACCGUCAUUGAAUUCAAAUAUGUCAAACAAAACAUCAUAUUUGAAUCUAUGGGUGCGUUUGGUUCGCAUUAUGAAAAAUUACUAGGAAUAAAAGAUAUCCGAUAAUCUUAUUUCUAUUCAUCCUAUUACUAAGAAUGUGAAAUUCCUGUGUUUGGUUCGCACGGUAAUAUUAAUUAGCCAUAUUAUUUAAUAUUACAAAAAAUAUACAAUUAAUUAAUUAAUUUAUUUAUUUAAUUUUAGAUAAUAUUACUAAAAGUUUUAACAUCUUUUUAGAAAAAAGGGAGAGAGAGUAUAAGUUAGAGAAAAAGAACAUAAUUAAAAAAAUAGAAAGAAAAAUAUAGUCGAAAUUAGAGGGAGUGAGAGAGUUGAAAUUUUAGAAAGAGAGAGAGAGAGAAAGCUUAGUUUAGAGAGAGAAAAAAAAAGUUGAAUUUUAGAGAGAAAAAUAAGUUUAGAGAGAGAUAUAAGGUUAGAGUGUAAAGAAAAAUAAUAUCAAUUAGCCGGCGGGUCGGAAGAAAGAAAGAGAUUAGAUAUAUUAUGAUUACCCCAAUUCAUUAAUAUGAGGAUACCCACCCUCCCUCAAGGGAAUGAGAUUAAUAUGUACUUUAGGGUGAAUCUUAUUUCCAAGUGAAUUCAAUAUUACCAAUUAGAUUAUUUAUUGCGUUUAGCCAAACACCGUCAUAUUUUUUUAUUCCCAUUGGAUUACUAGGAAUCUUUAAAAGAUAGCGCGAACCAAACGCACCCUAUAUGUAAUUAUAAUUAUAAGAGCUAGGCUCCUGUAAUAUUUAUAGUACUAGAAGUCAGGUACUAACGUAUCGUUUUCAACCGUAAAAUGUUUAAAUCAACGAUCCAUACCGUUAAAUUUAAUCUAAAAUAUUUAAAACUUCACUACAACAAAAACGGUGUAUAACGACACUUUUAAAUGUCGGUAUAGAUAAAAAAAAAAACUGCUGGCUAAAUUACCGACACUUUUUAAAAAUAUUGCUAUAUAUGGGGUCGCUAUAGGUAGGGCCGCUUUGAUAUUUAGCACCCGUAAAAUUUAAUCUAAAAUAUUUAAAACUUCACGACAACAAAAACGGUGUAUAACGACACUUUUAAAUGUCGGUAUAGAUAAAAAAAAAAAACUGCUGGCUAAAUUACCGACACUUUUUAAAAAUAUUGCUAUAUAUGGGGUCGCUAUAGGUAGGGCCGCUUUGAUAUUUAGCACCCGUAAAAUUUAAUCUAAAAUAUUUAAAACUUCACGACAACAAAAACGGUGUAUAACGACACUUUUAAAUGUCGGUAUAGAUAAAAAAAAAAACUGCUGGCUAAAUUACCGACACUUUUUAAAAAUAUUGCUAUAUAUGGGGUCGCUAUAGGUAGGGCCGCUUUGAUAUUUAGCACCCGUAAAAUUUAAUCUAAAAUAUUUAAAACUUCACGACAACAAAAACGGUGUAUAACGACACUUUUAAAUGUCGGUAUAGAUAAAAAAAAAAACUGCUGGCUAAAUUACCGACACUUUUUAAAAAUAUUGCUAUAUAUGGGGUCGCUAUAGGUAGGGCCGCCUUGAUAUUUAGCACCCACUCCUCUAGCGAUCUAUGGCGAGGGAUACGUGGCGAUCGUAAUCCUCUAUGAUCCCUACAAGAUCCUCGUGGCCGAACUCCAGUCGCCGGAACCUUACCUCAUUGGUUGCGGCGGCGGAGGAAGGGAAGGGGAGAUGGUGAUCACUUUUUCUUUUUUUUUCUUCCUUUUUUAUUUGUAAUUGGGUAGAUGAGCUGGAUAUGGUUAGUUGAGUAGAGAAAUUUUUUAUUUUUGAUUGGAUUGGGUUUUAUAUUUAAGCCUUAAUAAAUUUUUUUUAAAAGUUUUGAUAUAAAUAGGACACUUAUAUAAAAGUGUUCUAAGAAUGUGUCUAUAUAAUUUUUAUAUUUUUUCAACAUAAUUUAUCUUAUAAUCAAAUAAUUUUAAAAAUUAUCAAUUUUUAAUGACUACUAUGGCGAGUUUAUAGUUUAACGAUGCAAAAAAAAUCCAAAUUUAUUCCAAUUUUAAUAAAAAUAUUUUAAACUAUCUAUAUUAAGGUUAGCACUAGUGAUUUGAAUUCAAAUAUCCUCCUCAAAUUUUAAAGAUUGUUUAAUUUUAAUCGUUCAUUUUUAUAUAAUUUACUUACUAAGUAAAUGAUAUCGAAAAAAAUUAAAAUUUUAUUUUUAAGAAUUUUAUAAACCAUAUAUAUAUUUAACAGUAUAAAUCGUUGAUUUGAAUAUCUUAAAAUAAAAAAUAAAACUAUAAUAUGGGAGUUCAGCUACUAUCGAUAUCGAUAGUAUAGUAGUCUCGUUCUAACUAUAAUAUAGUUGCAAUUAUAUACAGUGAAAUAUAAGAUAAUAUUAUAUAUAUAUAUAUAUAUAUAUUUUAUAAUAUAUAUAUAAUAUAUAUAUAAAUAUAUAUAUAUUAAUAUAUAUAGAGUGAGCGCUACAGCUAUCGGAAGUACGGGGCCUUUCAUGCUUCCAGCUCGUUUUCGAUGUUACGACUUUCGAGUCGUCGAUAGUGCUCCGUAAACUUGAUCUAAAGUAUUUGCAGUACCUAGAAAAUAAAUUUUAUUAUUUUCUGAUAUCAUUUGCUAGUGAUCGAAUGGGCUCAAAAUCAACAAAUUUUAAUGGCGUAGUAAAGCGGUUGCAAGUUUAAACGGUGUAGAAAUAUCACAAAUCAGGAAAAAUUUUGAUAAAAAUUUUUAUACUAUAUAAAACAGAUCAAUAUCUUGAUUUAAAAUUUUAAUGUCAUAUUAUUACAUUUUGUAAGAUUUAUUUUCAGUCGUUGAUUUGAGCCCCUUCGGUCACUAGGCAAAUGAUAUCGUUAACAUCUAUAUAUUAUUUUUCUAGGUAUUAAAUACUAGGAUCAAGUUUAACGGCGCGAUUCGACGAUUCGAAAGUCCCAAUAUCGAAACGAGGCUGAAAGCACGGAAGGCUAUAUAUAUAAUAUAUAUAUAUGGUCGGCUACUAUCUAUUAAUAGGAUUGGGACCCUUGUCCUAUCAAGUCGAUUUGAAUGAUCGGAACUUCAAUUUGAUAAUCGGCACCGUUGAAGUUGAUCUAUACAAUUAGAAAUGUUUAGAAAACCAAAUUUUGUAUUUUAAAAAUCAUUAUCAGUUCAUCUAAGAGUUGAAAAUAAACGGUCAUAAAAUGAAUAACUUUUUUUAAAUAGAGGUUAGACUUAUCCAGUUUGUAAUCAGAGUUAUCAAACAUUAUUAAAUAGUAUAAAGAAUUUCUAUCAAAAAUUCAAGAGUAAUUUGGAUUGCUCUACACCGUUAAACAAGCAAACGGCUAUAUAGGCUGUAAAAAUUGUCGAUUUUACUACACUUUGAUCACCAUGUACACAUUAUCAAAAUUUAUGAAAUUUAGUUUUUAGAUCAUUUCAAAAAUACGUCGAAUCACUUCAACGGCUCGUCAUCGAUUCGGAAUCUCGAUCAUCAGAACAACUUAAUAGGACAAGUGCUCCUAUCUAUUAAUAGGAUAGUAGCAUUAGCUAUAUAUAUAUAUAUAUAGUAUAUAUAUAUAUAGAGUCGGCUACUAGCUAUCGGUAGCACGAGCGCUCCGUGUCCCAAUUUGUUUUCAGAUGAUGCGGCUUCCAAAUCGCGAUCGCCCGUUUAGGCUGAUCUACACUAUUGAAAGUAUUUGGAAACUAAAUUUCAGAUUUUUUCGACAUCAUUUGACUAGUGAUCAAAAGAUUUCAAAAUUGACAAUUUUAAUGGCCGAUGUGGUGUGUUUGUGAGUUUUAACGGUGUGAAACAAUUCAAUGCGAUGAAAUUUAUAGAAAUUUUUUUCACUAUUUAGAGUAAGAUCGUAUAUUUGAUCUUGAUUUAAUAUUUUAUCAUCAUUUUUCCAUGGGACCGUUUUUUGUUUUUCAGGGCUCGUUCUCAAUUUUUGUGACGUACUGUGUUCCUUGAUAGAUGAAUCUGAUAUCGAUAAAUUUGUAAGUUUAGUUUCUAAAUACUUUUCAUAUAGUGUAGCAUCAAGUCUAAUGGAGCCGAUCGUCGAUUUUGGAGCCUGCAAUCAUCGAAAACAACUUCGGUAGCACGGAGGCUGCCGUGGUACCGAAUAGUAUGGUCCAGCUAUUCUAGUUAUAUAUAUAUAUAUAUAUAUGCUAACCUCGCUGUCCACAGCUACAUGGUGGAACCAGGUUCAGCCCAGUUCACCCGAGGUGCUCUUUUUUCCUGGCGCGGUGCAUGUCAGACCUCGUCAAACUCUCCCAACGCUCACAAUUGAGACAAAAGACGACCCCUGCACAUUAUUACCCACAUAUGCAGAACGUUUCCAACAUACUAAUUUAUGCCUCGUAUAGAUCUCUACUACUCUCUUCUCUCUCUCUCUCUCUCUCUCUCUUUCGAUCCCCCCAAUUUAUAUCACGUUUUUUGCUUCAAGUCCCUUAAUUUCGACCCCACCCAGUGCUGCGAACAACAAUUAGUAUAAUAUCUCCUUCUUCUUCUUCUUAUCCCUCUCUUGCUCCAUCGUCCAAUCCCCAUCGUUCACUCCACCACCACAUAUGACAUGCCCCACCCACUCACUGCCCUUUCUCCUCCCACCUUUAUAUAGACCCACCCAAACAAAAUGAAUUUACUACACACACACACACACACACACAUAUAUAUAUAUAUAUAUAAUGUAACAGUUCCUAGCUAGUAUAUAUUCUUACUUUGGAUGCUUCCGCGAAGGAUCCGAAGCGAAGUGCGCACAGGGAAGGAACUAUCGAUAGCGACUUCGCGCAACGCCUAGUGCAGUAAAAACCACUUAAUAAGAGGAUUCAUGGAUUGCUUGCAAGACUGGCCGGAGCCGGUCGUGCGCGUGCAGUCGAUAUCCGAGAGCGGCGCGCAGUCCAUCCCCGAGAGAUACGUGAAGCCGCCGUCGGAGCGGCCGUCUGAUACGUCGGUGUGCGGCGACAGCGGCGGAGCCGGCAUCCCCGUCAUCGACCUGUCGAUGCUGGGGAGGUGUUCGCAGACGGUGAGGGCCGUGUCGGACGCUUGCCGCGAGUGGGGGUUCUUCCAGGUGGUGAACCACGGGGUGAGCGCGGAACUGAUGCGGCGGGCCCGUGCCGUGUGGAAGGGGUUCUUCCACCAGCCCAUGGACGUGAAGCAGCGCUACGCCAACUCUCCGAAGACGUACGAGGGUUACGGUAGCCGGCUUGGGAUCGAGAAGGGCGCCAUUCUCGACUGGGGCGACUACUACUUCCUCCACUUCCGCCCCCUCACUCUCAUGAGCCAUGAAAAGUGGCCCUCUCUCCCUCCUUCUCUAAGGUGCAUGUUAUAUACCGCGUACUGUUAAAUAUAAAAGUAUAUAAAUAUCGUUCUCUAACAGCUUAAUCUUUUAUAGUACAACGGUUAUUUUACCGUGUGUUUUACAGCCGAAUGAUGAUUUUUUUUCUAUAUAGCAGGGCGACGACGGACGAGUAUGGGCGGGAGCUGACCCGGCUGUGCGGGCGGGUGAUGCGGAUAUUAUCGGAAGGGCUCGGGCUAGAGGAAGGGAGGCUUGGGGCGGCGUUCGGCGGGGAGGAAGUGGGGGUGUGCAUGAGGGUGAACUUCUACUCCAAAUGCCCCCAGCCGGAGCUCACCCUCGGGCUCUCGUCACACUCCGACCCCGGCGGCAUCACCGUGCUCCUCGUUGACGACCGCGUCAAGGGGCUGCAGGUACGCAAGGACGGCGCCUGGGUCACCGUCCAGCCCAUCGCCGACGCCUUCAUCGUCAACGUCGGCGAUCAGAUUCAGGUGAUCGUACUAGACCUUUUGUCUCGCUCGUGUGCUGUGUGUGUGUAUAUAUAUAUAUAUAUUAAAAUUAUUUCUGAAUUAUUUUUUAUUCGAUUUGUUGUACAAAUUUUCCUUUCAUAAUCGGGCACACGUGCCAGGUAAAUGAUGGUCCCAACUGAGCGGGCUUAAUGUCACCUGAGGAAAGUAUAGAGUGAGGGAAUUUAAGAGCCAAAGCUAGCUUUUUUAUCUAAUGUCACAAGCACAUAAGAGUUCAAAUUUUGCAGCAAUAAUUGAGUGGGCUUAGUGAAACCUGGAGAAAGUAGAGCGAGUGAUUUUUAGAGCAAAAAGCUCUUUUCCUAAUUUUUGUGAUACAGAAGAGUUCAAUUUUGCUUUCCAAUUUAAUUAAUUGUGAAAAUUACUAAUUAGAACGAUUGGUUCUCAGGGUCUUAAGGACCAUUUUGUAUUUACGUGUGACUUGGCUAGAUAUAAGGCACAAGGACUCUUUUCUUUCUCUCUCUAUAUGUAUAUAUAUGAUUCUUGUUCUCACCAAUUGUGUCUAAAUCUGAUUCUAACAUCAUAGAAAAGCAGAUAGCAACAUGACACGUCACAGUUAACUAAGAACUUGAUGGUUUAUAAAUUUCAUCAUUCUUUUACUUUUCACUAUUGAUUUCAAGUAUUUUAGAUUUCCUUUUUUAAAGUUUUAUUUGUCUAUUUCACCAAAGUUCCUAUUGAAAUACAACUAUUGAUUUUUAGUUAUAAAUAAUUUUACACUUUCUCUAACUUAUGACCGUUUAAAAUUGCUCAAAUUUUAUCUAAAUCGCACUUCAUCUUUCCAUAGUGUUCACUUAUAUAUACAUAUACUUGUUUUUAACUCGUUUUCUUGUCUAAAAGAACUUAGAGAGGAAGAUAUAUAUAUAUAUAUAUAUAUAUAUAUAGAGUCUGGCUACUAUACUAUUGAUAAUACCAAGCCUUUGGUACUAUAGAGUUUUCUACCGUUAGAUCUAUCCUGUGAUCAUUUUCACCCAUUAGAUUAUACUAUUAAACCAACCACCCACUCAACCCUAGGGGACCACUAUCAUUCUAACCGCACAUCCUUUCAUCCAACGGCCAAAAACUCAAUAGUACCAAGGGCUUGGUACUAUUGAUAGUAUAGGAGCAUAAUUCUAUAUAUAUAUAUGUAUAUAUGUAUAUAUAUAUAUAUAUAUGUAUAUAUGUAUAUAUGUAUACAUAUAUAUAUACAUAUAUAUAUAUAUAUAUAUAUAUGUAUAUAUGUAUAUAUGUAUACAUAUAUAUAUACAUAUAUAUAUAUAUAUAUAUAUGUAUAUAUGUAUAUAUGUAUACAUACAUAUAUACAUAUAUAUAUAUAUAUAUGUAUAUAUAUAUAUAUAUAUAUAAAAGGAGUGAUGAUGGUUCACAUGUCAUCAUCAGUUUCCAUUUUUAGAUGGAUAAUGUAGAAAGAUAUACUAUUUACAUGGACAAUAUUUUAUGAUGUAAACGAUCAUAUUUGUUUAUAACCGAGGAAUCAAACAAACAGUGUAGCAAUUAAUAAAUGAAAAUAAAGAAUUAUGUAUCCACCACCCAGCAACAGUAGCCACGUGUUAAUUGAUAAUGCCUUUUUAUUUUCUUAUUAUUUAACUAUGCGCUUCCAAAAUGCUGAGGGGUCGGUCAAUUAAUCAUUAAUCACGUGUUAGUUUGAAGCGACUAAUUAAUUAGGUUCUUACCUAUCACAUAGCUCAUAACCUAAUUUUUUUAUACAUAAGUUGAUACGAAAACCACAUCACGCAACCGUAAAAAAAAAAAAAAACGAAAAUUAGCUCAUAACCUAAUUUUAACUUUUUCUAAUUUCUCUUGGGGCUAAGUCAUUCCUUCUCUUUGGCCACAUGUGGCAAAUCUCUAGCGAAAUAAUUAUUAAAAUAUUAUGAGUCCGUAGACAAAUUACAUUCGUGGACUUUGUAUAACGUCCGUAUUUAAUAAUGCAUGUUCUCUUCCUUAUCCAUAGCUCGUCAUGAAACCUUAGUUGGAUAAGUAUAGUGUAUAAAUAUAUAUCUCUUGAGAUAUAAUAUUUAGAUAACUAAAUUGGGUUAUUUGUUUCCACCGUUGUGAUGCAGGUUUUGAGCAAUGCAGUGUACAGAAGCGUGGAGCAUCGGGUGCUGGUGAGCGCGACGGACGAGCGGCUCUCGAUGGCCUUCUUCUACAACCCGCGGAGCGACCUACCGCUGGCACCGGUACCGGAGCUGGUGACCCCCGACCGCCCCGCCCUUUAUCAGCCCAUGACCUUCGACGAGUACCGCCUCUUCAUCCGGAAGCGGGGGCCGAGAGGCAAAUCGCAGGUCGAGUCGCUAAAGACCGUCGAAUGACGAUCCGGAAUAUAUAUUCUCUCCUUCUCCCUCCUCUCCAUUGUACUCAUACAUUUUACUGACUUAUGAGCGGAGGGUCUUUCAUGUAUCACUCGGUAUAUAUAUGUAUAUAUAUACCACCCUUACAUAUAUCAUAGGACAAUAAUAAGAAUGACAUAUAUAACACAUGACUCGUGAAUAGUACUGUGUAUUCUUUUACGUGACAUACGUAUAUGUCGAUGUUAUAAAAUUUUUAUUUAACAUACUACUUCUUAUCCGAGUUUUUCCUAAGUACAGCUUUUAGAAAAAUGCACUGUGUACCAAUAAACAAAAUACAUCGGCAUAAGCUAGUGGUCCAUAAGAAUAACAGCAACUUCUGUUUUUUUUUUUCAUGCAAGGACAAAAUGUAUUAAUUAUUAAUUUUCGGUUUUAUUAUUUCUUAAAAUUCGUUUAAACUGAGAUGCAAAACCAAAAAAAAAAAAGAAAAAAGAUUUCUUUGCAUGCUGAUUGAACUGAAACCGCUCGCACAUAACCCCUGUGGGCAAGGACGGAGCUAUGGGUAUCGCACAUAACCCCUGUGGGUAGAGAUGUCAACGGGUCGGAUUCGGGGCUAAUUUUUAAAAAUUCGAACCCGAACCCAACUCCAAACCCGAGACCCGAACUCGACGGAUUUUAAAAAUCCAUAUCCAAACCCGAACCCGACCAAAAAUCCGAAACCCGAACCCGAACCCGAACCCGAAAAUUUGAACCCGAAACAAUUAUUUUUUUUUUAAUAUUUCAAAAUAUAUUAUAUUAAAUCUAAAUUUUUAAAAUACAAAUUCAAAUAUAACAUCAAAUUUAUAUAGGGUAUAUUUAUAUAUAUAUAUAUAAUAUUAUAUAUAUAUAUAUAUAUAAUAUAAAAUAAAUUUGGGUUCGGGUCGGGUUCGGAUUCGGGUCAGGUACAAUCAAAAUCCAUAUCCGAAUCCAUAUCCGUCGGGUUUCUAUUUUUUAUAUCUAUAUCCAAAUCCAAAUCCAUAUCUAUCGGAUAUAUCCGUUUCAUUCGGGUUCGGAUUCGGAUAAAAUUUCGGAUAUUCAUACCCAUUGACAUCCCUACCUGUGGGCGAGGAGGGAGAUAUGGGUAGGCCCAAGGAGUUGUUUAAUAAUUUUUGACAUUAAUUCAGCUCUUUAGUUUUUGGAUAGUCACGUGGCCUCGUUAACUUUUUCGUAUUUGCUUAACAGUAUUCUCUUAAUUUCUACUAGUGUAUAGAUCCAUGCGAUGCAGCGGAUAGUUAAUAAAAAUAAAAUUUUAAAAUUUUAAUAAAAUUUAUAUUUAUAGCUUAUUGAUCUAUAGGAAGCUAUACCAUAUUAAGCACAGUCAGUUUGUAUGACUAAAUUUAACUGUUAAAAAAAUAAAAUUAUAGUUAGAAAUUUAUAUAGUUGUUUUAAAAUCAUCGAAAUACAGUAGCAGACAUACAAUUUUAUCGUAUUAUGUGCCUCUUGAACAUUCCGUUGUGAAAGAUAAAAAAAUAGAUAGCUCCAGCGCAGCUGAAUCAAUCCAGCAGGCACUUAUAUGGGCCGCGGCUCCGUUUUGCGGGACGAUACUUCUCGAAGGAGACAACGUUCUUCGCAUGCUCUUUUUCUUCUUCUUUAUUGUCCUUAUCAUCUUCAUUAACACAAUGAGAGAGAGAGAGAGAGAGAGAGAGAGAGAGAGAGAGAGAGAGAGAGAGAGAGAGCUAGAUGAGUGUGGAAUGAAAAAUUAGAUGAUGUUAUUCUUUUUUGUAUGGAAAAUAAUAGGCCCUGCAAAAGAGAGUGGGGCGGGGGGAUUAAUGAAGGUGGGGAGUGAGUUGGAAUUACAAAGCAAAGUCGUUGAUAGAAUAUGGUGCAUACAAUUAAAUAUUGCAUUUUCAAUUAAUUAAUUCUCGUGAUUUCAAAGGAUUGGGAGGUGAAGGGUUUGGCGUUGAAAAGAAAUUUGGGGGAAAGAAAUGAACAAUAUUGAAGAGAAAAAUAAGUAAUGUAUAAAUUAAAUAGCAUAUUGAUUACAGUUCAUUAAAUAGAGAAAAGGGGAGGGGAAGAGCCAAAAGCAAAUGUCAAUUUAAAAAAAAAAGGAUUAGCGAGGUUGAAAGAAAACUUGCCACUUGGCAAAAAAAUUAGAAAGUGAUGCAAAACUCAAAAAAAAAAAAGGACAAAAAAAAAGUAGAAGAUUCCUUUGCAUGCUGAUUGAACUGAAACCGCUCACACAUAAACCCUGUGGGCAGGGAUGGAGCUAUGGGUAGGCUCAAGGUGGCCAUGGUUCCCCUCAACUUCUCAAUAUUUGUUUAAUACUUUUUAGCAUUAAUUCAAUUCUUUUUUUUUUGGGAGUGGGGAGGAGGGGGAGAGGGGGGGAUAUUUGCUUAACGGUCUAUAAUGUCAGCAUAACUCUCCCUAGCUCUCUUAAUUUCUACAUUAUUUGUAUAGGUGAAAAUAUAUUAAAAAUCUCUUACUUAUAGAAUAUUUUGAAAUAUAUUUCUCAAAAGCUUUUGUUUAAUAUUCUUUUAUUUCUAAUUAUAUUAGGUGAGCUAUUUUAUUUGAAUAAAUAAAAAAGUUCACUAUUUUAAUAGUUAUGUUAAUUUUAUUUACUAAAAAAUUAAAAAAUUACCGUUAGAUUUAGUAAAAUUUCUAAAUUAUUUGAAUAUAAUAAUAUAAAUAAAAUAAUUAAAGGUUAAACAUCUGAAAAUAAAAAAUUUUGCAUAUUUUGUAUAUUUGCUGAAGUUUCUAUCCGAAUAUAUUUUUUGGUCCCCCCUCGGAUAGAAUUCUCGCUCCAUCCGUUCCUGUGGGUGUUAUUUUUAUUGGAAGAGGACAAAACGUGCUUCACACACUGUUAUGGAACGGUUACAUGAUCAAGUGUAACGCGUGUGCGCUCCACGGAAGGACGACCGGAUCGGACGGUUGAUGUGAAAUAUAAAACCUCCCGUUCACCAAUUUGGGCACGUGAAAUAUAAACGGUACUAGUACUAGAUUGAUGGCACUCAUCAACCGCCACGUGGCGUUGACUGUUUCAUCUGGAACGAGCGGGAAAGUUCGCGGAAGAUCUACGGUGCCUAGGACAACAACACACGGUGGACACGCAUUUGGAACAAGGUGGGGUUUAAAUGUACGAAACUUUUUUUUCGUAUCUUGGGUUUAAAUAAAAAAAUUAUUUUUCAAUUUAGAAAAAUCCUUUUUAAUCCCAAUUUUCCGGGCAUCGGCGCAUGAGACCAACCACCACCUCGGUAGCACCACAUCCUCCCCUUGUAACUUGGAAGUCGAUAUUUAGAGCGUUUUUGAUUUAAGUUAUGUAAUAUAACAGAGUAUUUCAAUAUAUUCAGAUAUCAAGAAUAUCUUAAGAAAAAUAAUUUUACUUUAUGGUACACCUGCAUUUACCAAAAAGGUUGCACUCAACACAAAAUAUUACUGGCAUCUUAAGAAAAGCAAGUUCACUUUAUGGUACACCUGCAUUAUUUACGGAGAUGCUUGCACUAGGACUAUCCCACAAUGUGUUGCACCACCAAAUAACUAAUAAUGGUGGNUUUUUUUUUUUUUUUUGUUAUCAUCAUCAUACGUACGUCUUUGAGACAAUUCACGCACGCAUUCCAUUUAUGCUAAGUGGAGCUUUGAAUUUAUAUUAUGAACUUAAUUAGUUAGCAGUUCAUUGUUGGAAACAUUAAUGUAAUAUAUAUAUAUAUAUAUAUAUAUAUAUAUAGUAGUAAUUUUCUGCACCAGACAAUACCUAGUGAGCAAAGUACGAACCACGGAGGGAGAAAAAAGUUAAACUUUAUUUGACAUUUUUUGGUUGCACUGGUCAAGCUUACGAUAUCAUGCCCGUAAAUUAUUGGUGAGGAACUUUGAUUCAGAGGCAGGAUGCAUUAAUUAACAGAUUACAGUUUGAAUAUUUUAUCUUUGAAUUUUUAUAACCACGACUAGUCCUAAAGUCGCAAAUGCAGAUAGUAAUUGAUAUAGGAUUGGAUUGGAUGCAAAUGGACGAUCGAUCCUGAUCUCCGACUGAGCCUUCAAUCUUUAUUUUGUUAGGACCGGUGAUUAAAGUUUGGAACGAAGCUCAUCUCUCCUUGGUGGGGCAAACAAUUAGUUGCUAAAACGUCCUGGAACUAAUUUGUCUACAAUUAAUGUUUCUUUAUAAGAAAAGGACUAGUUUGGAUGCACAACAAACACGUUUCUAAUUCGUGUGGUCAUGCUACGAGCCAUCAAUGAUCGGAGAAAGUUACGGAGAGCGAUGAAGGCGAGGGAAAAUAAACUCUCUUAAUUCAAUUUUGACCUAUGAUCCAAAGGAGAGAUAGAGCUCAUAUAGAGAGAGAGAGGAAGAGCUUAUUGCAUGCGCUUAGUGUUUCCUACAUCUCAUGCACCGCACGCAUUAUUACUUAUCAUUAUCCUAAUAUUGUAAUCCGAUAUAUAUGAAAGAUAUGAUUUAUUAGCUACAACCAUUUAUAAAAUUUAUGAAUUGUAAGUAUUGAAAACUAUCAGUUAUUUAGUUUUAAAAAUCAAAGACAAAGAUAGAGCCUAAUACAUAACAAAUAGGAGCCCAUUAUAAUUUUUGAUUUACAGGUCUUUUUGAAUAUCGAAGAACAUAUCUAAUGAAUAAAAUUCUGAUUUCAAGGCCUAUAUAUCAUAGUUUUAGGAGUGCAGUUUAUGGCCUAUACGGAUAUAAUAAGGGCCUAUUUGUUCUGCCGAAAGUAGAAAAAGAUGAAGUAGUUUCGACCAUAAACAGUCACUUUUGUUGUUUGCUUCAACGUAAUAUUAUAAUGGUCAAAACCUAGGCUUCUCAAAACAAUAGAGGAUCGAAGUCAAUUACGAGAAAGAAAAGUGAGAAAAAUAAAUAAGGUAUUACAAAGGAAAACUUAGUUACCACCCUCUCAUCUAAUAUAUUUGUUAUAUUAAAUUGUUGUAAUAAUUUAUCUUUUAUUUAGUUUCUAUUUUUAAAAUAUAAUGAAAAUUAAUUAGUUAAGUUUUAGUAUUUUUUAACUUAGUUUGCAUAUUUAAAACGUGAUGAAAAUUGAUUAGUUGAGUGUCAGCAUAUAUUUUUCUUUAAGAGUUUUAUUUUUGCAUUAUAAUAAUUUAUGUACGAAAAAUUAAUUUAAUUAUUUUAAAUUAUAUUUUUCACUUAUAUAAGGAUACAGUUUUACUAACUUUCUAUUUACUAUGUUCUAAUUUAUUAUUUAUCAAGUAAUAUAAGAAGCAAUAAUGUCACAUGAGUAGAGAGCUAUAUAUAAGAGAGAAGUUUAUCUAAAGCGUGAGGAUUCAACAGUUUUCGGUAAAACAAACACAGAAAGUGGAAAACUUCAAUUUUUACGACUUUGAAUUCCUACCAAACAAAAAAAACAGCAAAACUGUGAGAACUUCACUUUCACAACUAUAGAAACAAACAGUAGAGGAGAGGUAAUUUUCAUAUAAAUUUUAGUUCAACCAAAAGCGCACUUCAACCUGAACUUUACAUUCGAUGAAAUAAACAAGCCGCAGAGUGCUAGGCAAUAGUAGUGUGUGCGUGCGCGCAUCACCUUGGAUGAAACAAACAGGCCCUAGAGUGUGCUUGUGAGAGAGAGAGAGAGAGAGAGAGGGAUGCAAUAUGUAAAGAUUACAGAGACAGGAGUUGGACUGAAAAGAAGAGAAGGUGGAGAGUAGGUUUUGAUGAGACAAGAUGGAGUGGGUUAGGUUUGCCCAAAAGAGAAAUCAGAAGAAGAGUCGGCAGUUCAAAAGGUGAGAGUGCAGAGUUAAAUUGCAGAUAAGUUUUGCAGGGCAAUUAAGUGGCCAGCGAAGAUCCCAACAGUAGUACUUCAAGCAUUAAGCUCUCCUGCCAUUCUGUUUCUGCAGUGUUUGGGCUAGAACACAUUUUCUGCAGUUCGGUAUAAAAAUCUUCGUAUAUUUUAAUGCAUUUUGAUGGAGAUGAGCGGCGAUAUCAACUCAUGCAUGCGGGAUUGCACCCAAAGUACAUCAUUUCUAUCUUAAGGAUAUUGAAGAAUACUUAUAAACACAGGAAAGCUAAAGAUAUACUUCUUAUUCUCCCAAAUAACAUAGUUGAUAUUUGAAAUUUGUAUAGAAGCUAUCAUUCUAUUUCCAAAAUAGGCCUAUAUUCUAACCGCUAUUUUCAGUCAAACACAAUUUGAGUUAAAUCUAGAAAAUAAAUUCUAGUUUGAGAUAUCUCGCUAUUCCCUCAAUAAAAAACUCCACAGAUUUCUUAACUUACAAUCGCCAAAUCUAGGGACCCCCUUAUUCAAUUCAGAUGGGAAUAGUUGAUCCACCAUUUUAUUUGGUAGGAUAGUAGAGAUUAGUCACUAUCUCCUAUUGAAUUCCCCAACAAUUAUUCUCAAUCCUAGAGGGCUCUAGCUUAAAUUAAUUUAAAUGCAAACCACCAAUAUAUUAUCUACUACAACUAGGGAGCCUACAUACGAAAAAAUCAUAAGAAAGCCUAUUAUCUGCAAACAAACAAGUUUUGAAAAUCAAAUAGUGUAUAAAAAGAGUUAUUGUUAGCCACAUCCAGUAUUUUGAAAUUUUGUUUUAUAUCCUGUAAAAUGAAAUUUCUUUUUUUUUGAGAAUAAAAAAAAAAAAAAAAUUCAUUUUACAGGAUAUAAAACAAAAUUUCAAGAGCUGUAAAAUGAAAUUUCAGAAAAUGGGCUCAUGUGGGGGGACCAGGUGGAGGACAUAAUAUGUCUAGUUCAAGAGCUGUUGGGAUGAAAUGGAAAGUAGUGAUCAAUUAAAUGGAGAGAUGGGUUUCCUUUUAAAGAUGGUUCAAGAGUUGUUCCGCAAGAUGAUCUUACAUUUAAUACUCCUUUGCUGGCACCUAUAUACACAUAAUAUAUACUCCAAUAUACAACUCUACAAAAACUGAAUCCCAUCAGGCUAAGUUCAUAAAUUUCCGGAACGACCAUAGGCAGAUCUGUAUCCCGAUAGCCUUUAUUCUCUUGCUAAUUUUCUCUUUUAUUUUUAUUAUUAUUAUAUUUAUAGAUCAUCCGAGUGUAGAUAAAAUCUAAUGAAAUGCACAACUAGCAGGUUAAUGCUAGUUAUAUACUUGGGCCUUGUUUGGUGAGUACAAUAUGAUGACAACUUAGGAUGAAAAUAUCUUUGUGUAAUUGAAAGGUAGAGGUUUGAUUUUUGCUCCUUAAAAAAUCUUGAACAUCCAUAAUUUAGUACGAUAAUAUAUUUUAUUUAUAAUACAAUCUAUAUUAUUAUGAAAAAAUAACUUGUAGCCCGAAUAUACUAUUCCAUUCGGAACAUUUGACCACAUUUCUAACUUCAAAUAAGAAAAUCCUCAUACCGAGUUGGAUAUCAUUGAAUAACUUAUUCCGAUGGCCAAACAUGAUCUUAAGCCCAGUUUGGAUGUCGGAAUAAUUUAUCCACAGAUAAUUUAUUUUUAUUGAGAAUAUUUUAGUAUGAUUGUAAGUGAAUAUGAUUUUUUACUUCUUCAAAAAUCUUCUCGCUAUCCAUAAUUUGGUAAAAUAUUGUAUAUUUUACCUAGGAGGUCAUUUAUCUUAUUCUGAAAAAAAUAAUUUAAAGUUUGAAUAUAUAAUACUUUAUUCUAAAUAUUUGACUUAUCAAUCAAAUAUAUAAACUUUUUGAGUAAAUCAAAAUGUUCAUGCAUGUAAACAACGGAGUCAAUAUCCAAAGAGCUAAACAGAACAUCAAAAACACUCAUCAUAAAGAGGGGGAGAAAUUGUACAAUCACUAUGAUGUCAUGAAUGAUGUCACGCUAAUAAAGAUGAAAAAAUAUGCGAAGUAUAUCAGCACGUUUUAGAUCUACUAGUAGGUGGCAAUGUCAUUAAAGUUCUUCGUGUUAUCACUUGGUACAGUACUUAUCAUGACAUAUUGAUUUAGGUCAACCAAGAGUUUGUUGCCUCGCUUUCAUGUUCUGUCCAAUCACUCACUUUUGUGAGAUUGCUUGGUUCGAUUGGAACUUCUUCAGAAAUAGGUGCUUUUCAAAUACUUGUUUCAAAUGCUACGCCAAAUAGGCAUUGUAUCUUGUCUAAUAAAUACAAGUAAUUAACACUUGGCGUACACAAAAUCUAACAUUUCUAAAGCAACAUUUAAAAUCACAGUUAUUAUACUUUACGUACACAAAAUCAAACAUUUCUAAGGCAACAUGUAAAAACAGGUUAUGGUAACAGCUAUACUAUCUGUACAAGUACAUUAACAGUAUUUAUACCGACCGUCCCUAGAGCAAGUGGUAAAAGGCUUGGUGGUUGGUACCCGAGACCUAAGUUCGAAUCCUAGUUGAUUCACAUUUCUCACUAAGUUUAUUUCUAAAUAAAAUAAAUGUAGCGGGUAACGUACUGCUAUCUAUCUCUAAAAAAAAAACAUUAUUUAUGUUCCUGGAAGCAUAUAGGUUGAUGAAGAACCACCAAAUAAUAAAAUACAAUAAAAAUUCUGGGAGAAAACAUAAACUCUUUGGUAUAUUCUUUUCCAUUCUAAGAGCUAUUUCCUGGAUUGUUCAAACCCGCUUGAAGGAAAUCAAAAGCAGGUAAAAUUUUAUAGACUUUACCUAAAGUAUAAUGCAUUUUAAAAUGCACAACUGAACUUUGAAAGUCCUAAUUGCACUAUCUAACCUAAGAGUGUAUUUGGUUUAAGUAUCUCUUGGUCAAAAGUUAACGGUGUUUUUUAACUUAUUUCAUAGAAUAUUUAUAACCUAUUCUACAACUUAUUUUACUAACACUGAUUGACUUCAACAGAACUUAAUGGAAUUUUCUAAGAGAAAAAAAUUGACAAAAAAAUAAGCAGUAAUAUCAAAUUUGCAAAGCUCAGAACAUCAUUUCAAAGCACAUGAUAUUGUUCACGUCAGGCCUGCAAAGUUUUACCUAAAAGGGAACAAAUCAUCUUAAAGAGAUAGCUGACAAGUAGAAAGAACCAAGCCACAAAAAUGUUACCAGUCACAAAGAAAAGGAAGUUUGAACUGCAGAGCUUGUGGGCACUUACAUUGCUUUUUCUCGGCUUUUUGCCAUUUGAAAUGGAACCACCAUUCACAUGACAUUAUGACCAAUCAAGAAGGCACCUGCAUUAUAGUAGGAACCACAAGGUUCAGAAGGUUUCAACAGGGUUUGUGGGCAUUUAGAUUGAACUCUAAAAGCAAGCAAAAUUAAAAAGCGCUUAAUAGCAUUUAUGGGAAUAAAGAUAGAACUCUGAAAACAAGCACGGAAUCACGAACAAUUUAUAUGAAAUUGUAGCACCUCAAUAUGCAGAGUGGAAAUUAAUAGGUAUGAGCCCUUGUAUCCGAAUUAAUUACAUGUGCGUAAAUUUCAUAACAAGACAUAUGCCAUUUAUCAAUUAUAGCUUUUCAUAUUACAUAUAAUCUUUUAAGUAAAAUUGGCUUCACAAAAAUAAACUAGCAACAAUUACCAAAUUUGUUUCAGAUAAAAUCUUCUGUAUGAAUAAGAUGUUCUGAUCUUUUAGAUAGUAGCUUAUUUCUGAUUUAUCUAGUAAAUUAGUAGACUGAUGUACAUAUCUCAUGUGUAUCUACUCUUGGAUUACCAGCAUAAUAUAAUGCUAGGGUCUGAAGUUUACUCACAAACAAAAAUUGAAAAUUUCAGUGCGACUCGACUAACUGAUUUUAAGCAGAAUCCUUGGUGAGAGUCCAGUAACUCCAGUUUCUGGCCAAUAUCAUAGUCGUAGUGUUCCAAUUCUGACACCUUAAUUUAGUCUAAAGAAAAGAAAAAAAAAAAAAGCCUGACUUCUUAAGACUUCGAUAAUAAUUGGUAGAUAGGCAUAGUAAACUAGACAGGAAACAAAGAGAACAAACGACAAGUUUCCAAAUGUUAAUUUCCUUCAACACACAUUACUGGGCUUUCCCCCAAUUUUUCUACAAUGUCCAUUUACAACGUCCACUGGCCCAGUCUGUAGAAAUUUAGUUGGCCCUAAGUCGGGUUAGCAGUAUUCGAUUAUAAAUUACCACCUCUCAUUAGUUCCAAAGAGUCCUAUUUCCUAUCAAAUCCUCAUGGAUGUUGCAGAAUUUGAUAACAACCAAAUAAGGACGACAAGAACAAAUAAUCAUAUUUGCCUACAAAAUGACCAAUUGUCCUCAAAAGCAGUGGUUUUAGUUUAGUCAGAGCCUCAGAGAAGAGGAACUACCAUCUUGCAUAAGAUCUGUACUUCACAUACUUGUAAGAUAGAAAACGUAAUGCCUCAGCGCAUAUUCGUAUGCUAGUACCUACUUGUUACUUACUCUAAUAAUAAACAAUAAACUGUCUUCUAUUUUUCAAAUAAAUACCAAUUCGAAAGCAACCCUAAUUGGAAAAUAUUCUCGCUUGAUGUUUAUAGAGAUCUUAUCAUAAAUAAAACAAAUGAAUCACUAGAAAAAGCUAAAAAGAGUGAGCUAGAGACACACCAAGGAUUGAUUUAGAGAAGAAAUAAUAUUUGAAACACAAAAUUUGAGAAUAUUUGAUCAUCAAAAGGAAUUACGGAUGUUUAUAAAACAUGAUGUAACUCAAUAGAAGAACCUUAUGUUCAGUAGAAAGAUCACUCAAAAUAGAGUUAACGAUUAUGAACAAGGUGCUCUAUUUUGUGCUUGCAGAGAUUUUUAUGAAAUAGAAUGUUUAUUGAUUGAAUUUUCUUUUUUUGGGGGUAAAUUUAUUGGGGUGAACCCUGCAAUUUUAUUGAAGAAUGAGAGAGGUAGUAACAAGCCCAGUCCAGCUAAGGCCCAAAUGGACCAGGAGAAAGAACGGAGAAGAAAGAAAUAAUGAAAGAAAAGAAAAACGGUACAUUGAGGGUUCUAAUGUUGCAUAAUCUCCCAGUUUUUCAGGGCACAGAACAGCCUGUAGACGGUAGAUGGUGCUUACCAUAAUCACAACUAGAAUAACUAUUUGCUCCGCCAACGGUGCAAGUCUACAAAUAAGAGCCUUGUCGUUUCAGCAAACUGCGACAAACACUUUAUAACUAGUAAUGCAUGACCUAGCACGGAUAAGAUAAUGUAUAAGUUGUUAAAAAAAACACGUCCUAGUGCCUCGCUCACAUAGCACAACCCUUCAAAAGGACAUGGCGAAAUGCUCAGAAAUUACCAAAACUUAAUGUUAUCUAUCAACAAAAAGUGAAUUUGGAAUGGCAUCCGCAGCUACUCGUAAUACUCCACGAAAAGGGACAAAAAAGUGAAGCUAAAACAUUGUUUUAGCCUCGUUAAGCAUCGAACUUGUGAAUUCGGUAAAAAAAUAACACACCCAAAAAUUUAAAAAUGGCGGCAUAACUAGGCACAUUUCAUGACCAAAAUAUUCUAGUUGGCGAAGAUGUGGCUUCUGCAAGCAUCACAAGAAUUUAGCCGCCGAUCUAGUAGAACAUUUCAAUUUUUCUUUUAAAGCGCGAUCCGAAAGAGCGAAAGUCACAUUUCCUGGCAGUCCACUCAUACUAUUUCAAUUUACUAGAUGAAAAUCAUCAGUUCAAAUCUGAAAAAGAGCUGUCUUCACUGAAAUCAAUUUUCGACUUUAAUUAUCAUCAAAAACUCUCCAUCACUUUGAAAAAGUGAAAGAAUAGAAGACCAUAGAUAGACAACUCAUGACACAGCAAAAGAGUUUUACCUGACAGAAUCUGAAACUUACAAAUUAAAUUUCUUUAUUUUACGCACCACAUCAACUCAACAGAGACAAAUGACAAAAGAACAGGGAUAUAGCAUGGUCGAGAAAAGAACAUCUACCAUUAUCCUCAAAGCUUCUCUCCAAACAUGUAUUAAGCAUAUUAAGUAGGUAAAACACGAAUGGAACUAUCUGAACUAUAUAACCCAUUUUGAUCCGACUACUCAACCUAAAAAAAUUUGGCUUUUUUUACCUGUCAUUCAAUUCCUUGAUUUGAACCAUUUGAUGUGCUCUUUUGUUACAAAAUUUGGAUGUGUCACACACUUGAGUGGUAACACAGUUAAGUGAAUCAUGCGUGAUACUCUAAUCAGAGUUCUGAAGUGAAAGAACAGUUAAAUGGCUCAAAUCAAAGGAUUCAAAAGGCUAGGGUGGGAUCCGAUUUCAUCUAUCAAGUACAUCUAACAUAGCCUGUUGUUGAUGUACACCUUAGGUAAAUUACAUAGCAGCGCAAAACUCCUCCAGAAGAGAACUCAGGGUACUAAUAUCGAAAAUUCUCUGAGACCAAAAAGGUAACAAACAAAAUCUCUCAUCAAAAUUUCUUGCUGAAACAGCUUGGUUCAAAGCACCUGCGUUGGUCCACAGCAGGUCGAUCGCAAUCCCUCGCAUCCUCUUCGCGAAAUCAACAACUCGUCAAGGGCGAUCGAUCAUGGCGAUAAGGACGCCGCCAUUGAUGAGAGCGUCGGAGGAGAGAAAGGCGCACUUUUAGGGCAAAGUGAAGAGGAGGAGGACGACGACGAUGGAGAGGGAGGAGGAGGAGGACGACGAUGUUUUUCUCCGACUCUCCCACCUACGUCUUUUCUCCGACUUAUUUUCUCUAAACACGCGUAGAAUGAAGUCGGCGAAUGUAAGGUUCCUCGGCACCGAAUUCUAGUGCCAAAGUCGGCAGUAUAGAAUGCUUCGUUGCCUGUUUUAUGAAUCCCGCUUUUAGCCACCGACUCCAGAAGUCUGCAAAAAAUGGUGUUUUGUUGCCGACUCCCAUGGUUGGAGACCAAUUCAGCUGCCAAAAUUUUCAGAGUUUUUCGCUACCAACUAGAUGGUUUCUAUUGGGAUUAACUGCACCUUUGGUGACUAAACUUUUAGUUACAGGUCCAUUUAGCUCAUAACUACGCCACUGGUACAUUUAGAUCAUGAUGUUUAAUUUAUUUCAACUAAGAUACCGAACCUUAAUUUUCGCUUCCAUCGAAAUACGCAAUUGAAUACUUUCGCUGGAGAUUUCUAACGGCAGUCGACAAACAAGCGACUUGUGUCAUUUACCUCACAACAACGUUUCUUUUGACUCUCUUCUGUUCUCGAUCGUUAUUUGAUCUAUCACUUUGACAACCGACCAGGUUGGAUCUACAAUGUUGAAUUCUUGAUUUCAAAAUAUAAUUUAAUUUGAUCAACCUCAGAUAUUUGAUCUAUCACUUUGACAACCGAUCAGGUUGGACCUACAAUGUCGAAUUCUU